AGUGAACGCUGGCGGUAGGCCUAACACAUGCAAGUCGAACGGCAGCACAGUAAGAGCUUGCUCUUACGGGUGGCGAGUGGCGGACGAGUGAGGAAUACAUAGGAAUCUACUUUUUCGUGGGGGAUAACGUAGGGAAACUUACGCUAAUACCGCAUACGACCUACGGGUGAAAGCAGGGGAUCUUCGGACCUUGCGCGAUUGAAUGAGCCGAUGUCGGAUUAGCUAGUUGGCGGGGUAAAGGCCCACCAAGGCGACGAUCCGUAGCUGGUCUGAGAGGAUGAUCAGCCACACUGGAACUGAGACACGGUCCAGACUCCUACGGGAGGCAGCAGUGGGGAAUAUUGGACAAUGGGCGCAAGCCUGAUCCAGCCAUACCGCGUGGGUGAAGAAGGCCUUCGGGUUGUAAAGCCCUUUUGUUGGGAAAGAAAAGCAGCAGGUUAAUACCCCGCUGUUCUGACGGUACCCAAAGAAUAAGCACCGGCUAACUUCGUG
rnacentral:rRNA from 1 species